AAAUUUUCUAUAAUUUGAUUUUUUUCCACUUGACUCACCUGUAAGCCACCUUAUUAAAUGUGCGACAUUACACAUAUUUUGCUGUUCACUUAAGCGAUGAACGUGAUCAUCAUUUAUUUUUUGUACAAAUAUAUUUUUUACACGCGUGCGUAGUUAGGUACAUACAAUUAUAUUUCAGUAAAGGCAAAGCACAAAAAUAUUUCAUAUAUAUAACUCCAAUGAAAAGUCAUGAUUAAAACCUUAGAAAGAAGAUAGUCGGUGAAUUGACCUACGAUGAUUAUCUGUAUUGUUCACGUAAUGACCAGAACAGGGUCAGGUCGAUCCAUUAUGGCUUCUUUAACGUUGCAUCAGUACAAAAAUCUUACUACACCUAUGAACAAACUUGUUUAAUCUUUAUUUGAUUUAAACAACUUUAUUUUAUUUCAUCUUCUCAAAUAACAUGCUGAAGUAUAAUAUUUAAACGAAGGUAUACGCGAAUCAAACUAAAGGAAAGAUAUAUCCACUCCUUUUCUUCCCUUUUUUAUUUCUUCUUAAGUAUAUGAAAUAUCCGUUGAAUAAUGAUUACCUAUCGUACUACUAUCUUUAUCCGAGAUCGAAGAACAAUGCUACUAAAUGCUAUUAAAAUAAAGGCGCGCCUCUUAUGUAAAACGAGAAUGUCGUAAAAGUCACUUUACUCUCGAAACGAAAACCCUAUCAGCUUUGACUAAAGUUUAUGGGCUCUUGUAUUAGCAGCUUCUAUUCUUGACACUUGUAACUUUCGAAUUAUAUCCAUUGGAAUGAUUACGUUUACGUAAAUAGCAUCCUGUAUGGAACGACAAUGUAUCCUAUUUUGCGUGACCUGUACGUGCAAGUAUUAACUUUGAAGCAAUACAUAAGCUCAGUCUUACGUAAAAUGAUUAUGUAACAUUUUUAAUCAUUUCUUUGUCACUUCUACAGAAGCACUUCAAUUCGAAACCGAUGUAGUACCUAUACCUAUGUCUUAACGAACAUUCUUUUAAUUCGGUAUAUUACUUAUUUUAUACAAUAUGGAUGAAACAGACAGAUUCUUAUUGUUUCUGACAUUAAGCAUUAUUGCUUUUGAAUUUUUUACUUAAAAAAGGCUUAAAAUAAAUAAAAUCAAAAUGUUACUCUAGUCGUAAACAGAAACAAUGAUUCGAUCAAUAUAUAAUAUGUUAAGCACGUAUAUUUAUCGAAAAACAUACGAGAUAGUUUUGUGUGGAUAAAUUUUGGAAAUACAAUGAGACGGUGUCCAUUAUACGGUUUAAGGGCAUUUUCCACGAUGAAUUCCGUAAAAUCGAGCAGCCCUUGGAGUUUGCAGAACGAAGCACAAUGAGUCAAGAUUCUGAGACUUGCGCAGUGAAAACUCGUUGAUACAUAUCAUUAGACGAGUGUGCCUUACCAGCUGUAUCUGUGAGAAACGUUGAUCCAAUAGUCAGGAGACAGAAAUAGUUGUAGAAUAAUGAAAACGUCAAUAUAAACCCUCUACAUAUUGCAUUCUCGAAAAUUUAUCUCCCUCUUGACAAAUUAUCGUGAAGUUUAAACACCUCCCUACCACUGUUCCCGAUACUCGCAGUAUUCGCUCGGGAACGCCCUAUCAGUAAACCAAACUGUCUACUAAAUUGGGGAAUUCGAAAAUCAACAAAAGUGGAUUCGAAUUCAUAUUGAUAACGCGAGGAUUACAAAAACAUUGGUGGUAAAUCGUAGAAAACAUUCAGCCAAACAUAUGUACGUAACCUGUCGAACGCAAAAGCAUUCUGCGUAACAGUCUUCCACAUAAGAUAUAUUUAAGCUACAAAGCUUACAGUAAUAAACUUAUAAAGUUUACUGAGCGUUCAUAAAUAUUAAUGAUCAACGAAGUUAUAAAUACGUAACAUUCGAUGAAAACAAUGUUUUCUUUGAUAUUUCCCUCGAAACUUUACAUCGAAUUACUAUGAUUACAAUUACGAUUUUUGUACGAUGACUUAAUAUUAUAGAAACUAAAAUGUUAUAAUGUUAUAUUGAAAUUUUAUAUCAAAACUGAAACAUAAGACUCAUUUAUAAACUUAAUGAUCUCACAAUCGAAAAUUGAAUAAAACGAAUUUCCUUGAAGCAUCAGCACGUCGAGAAUGCAGUUGCCGCGCAAAAUGAGCGCUCAAAACGUAAUGGCAAGCAUUAGUCGUACAUUGGGAAAUCGCGAACAUAAACCAGCAGGCAAUGAAAUUCGAUUUGCAGGAGACGAAAGGAAAGACAAGCUCUACGAACCAAAACAUAAACAAAAGUUGAUACGCAGACAGAAAAAAUGACGACAAAAUUAACGACCAUGGCGAGUGAACGAAGUAUGUCGGAAAUCAUAACCACUCCACGACAGAAGGAUUUAUUAACUAUCUUGACAGAGAUUGCUGAAUCAUCGACUGCUCCCUCGCUAAUAACACUCGAGGAUUUACAAACUAGUCCAAGUACAGAAACCAAAGAAA